rnacentral:rRNA from 1 species
CAGUCGCCGCGGGAAAACGGAGGGAGCUAGCGUUGCUCGGAAUCACUGGGCGUAAAGCGCACGUAGGCGGCUAUUCAAGUCAGGGGUGAAAGCCCGGGGCUCAACCCCGGAACUGCCUUUGAAACUAGAUAGCUUGAAUCUUGGAGAGGCGAGUGGAAUUCCGAGUGUAGAGGUGAAAUUCGUAGAUAUUCGGAAGAACACCAGUGGCGAAGGCGACUCGCUGGACAAGUAUUGACGCUGAGGUGCGAAAGCGUGGGGAGCAAACAGGAUUAGAGACCCCUGUAGUCCCUGUCUCUUAUAC